UGAGAAUCCACAGAAAUUAGUGCGCCCGUCUAGAAGAAAGAGUUGCUGUGCGGCCAGAUUUGUAUACUGUCCUAAAUAUUUUUAAGUAGAUUAGCUCAUUUGAGUCUUUCGGCAUUUUUAAAAAUUGAAUUAAGUAUUAUACACGAAGAUAACUAUUCCCCCUUACGCUGUGGAUAAGAGUCAAUGGCUUGCGUUUCCAGGUCCCAGAGCAGUGAGCUAAAGAACUUGAAUUCAUUACAGCUUUUAUCUCAGUGGAGGAGUCAGGCAAGAAACAGAUAAAGAAAGGCAUAAUUUCGGAAAGUGGUAACUGCUCUAAAGAAAAAUAAAAGCGAGACUCUUCCUUUUAAGGAAACAAAGUCCUUGAAAACAUAGUUUGCUCAUUUUAAAUAUGAAGGAGUCUUUGGCAAUUUUCUCUAGAAGUUUCUCAGAAUGGAACAUCCAGGAAGCUGGAAGCCGUGUUGUGAGCUGCCCUAUGGAGAGGCCCACAUAGCAAGGAACUGAGGAAGGUGUGCAGCCAACAGCCAGCAAGGAACUGAGGCCCUCAAUUCAAUAACCCAUGAGCACUUGAACCCUGCUGAUGACCACCUGAGUGAAUGUGGAAGCAGCUCCUCCCUGAGUCCAGUCUGGAGAAGACCAGAGCCUUGUGAAAGCCCUGAGCCACAGGCCUCAGCUCAGCCACAUCCAGAUCCCUGGCCCACAGAAACUAAAGAUAACAAAUGUAGGUUGUUUUAAGCCACUAAAUUUUCCUUUAUAAAAUAAGUAAUAUAAUAAUUGGUACCCUAUGUUUUUAACUAUGACCAUUGUCUAAAACAAAUCUUGAUAUCCAGAAGCACAUGAAGUUUGCAACUUUCCACCCUGCCCAUUUUGUAAAACUGCAGUCAUUUUGGACAUUUUAAACACAAAUCUUAAACUCAACUAAGCUGUGAUACGUAGAAUGGUUACUGUUUAUAGUGUGUGUUUUUGUUUUUUUAAGUUGGCACCUGAGCUAAAAUCUGUGCCAAUCUUCUUUCGUUUUUUUUUUCUUCUUCUCCCCAAAGCCCCCCAGUACAUAGUUGUA